UGCAUGCAAGGUAGCGGUUGUUGUAGUCCGCACUGUUGCACUUGUAAAUAUAUAGUGCCGUUUAUAGGCGUAUGAAGUUGUAUGACGUAAAAACACGUUACAGCCGUCUGAAGGACUGUUUGAAUUGAGGGCAAUGCGUACCUGCCAGAGACCGAGCGUACGGAGCGAACAAAAGGACUGACUGUUGCAACACCAUCCAGCUAGAUCUCACUAAACUUUUGGUCUACUAGUCCGUAUAAUUCAAAACCGUAUAAGUAAUACAAACAGAGGGGAGAAUUUAAAUACGAGCAAAUAUUACUUAACUAAAAUAAGCAGGAGGAUAACAUAAUUGAAGUUGCGAAAAAUUGCAAUUUUCUAACAGAAUCUAUACCAAAUAUAUCAUACACGGUGCUUAAAGGCCCACACAUACGUAUGUACAAUCAUCAAUCCAAUAACACUUAUAUAUACAUGAACAGCAUUUUGAAAAUAAUGCAGGCGUGGCACUUUCUAUGUAAAUAAUUAAGUCAUUAACUGUAAUUAAUAAAUAUUUUUAAUUCAAAGAUAUAUAGAUUUUUUUUUUAUUCAAACGGCUAAGAAGAAAUUUGAAAAAAUCAAAAAGUAGGAAUAGGUGGCAUAACUUAAAGAGGAACAAGUUUAGAGAUAUUUAAAUAUGUAUAUAGUUCAGUAGCGUUAGGAAACAAUAAAUUUGGUACGAUCCAAAAACCAACAACUACACAUAUUAGGGAACACGCAGCCGUACAUAAAUACACACAUAAAAACAAAUAACUGUAGUUAAACUUAAUCGAAACAAAGCCACACUAGUUGUAAAAAAUGUAAGUCAAAGAACUAAAAUUGUUUAAUGGGAAAACGUGUAAUUGUAAAACAUAUUGUAAAAAAUUGUAAGUGCGAAAUAAAUUAAAUUUUUAAAUUAAAAAAUUACGAAAUA